rnacentral:rRNA from 1 species
GUCGAGGGGUAGAAGGAGCUUGCUCCUUUGAGACCGGCGCACGGGUGCGUAACGCGUAUGCAAUCUACCUUAUACAGGGGGAUAGCCCAGAGAAAUUUGGAUUAAUACCCCAUAGUAUAGUUGAAUGGCAUCAUUUGACUAUUAAAGUUCCAACGGUAUAAGAUGAGCAUGCGUCCCAUUAGCUAGUUGGUGUGGUAACGGCACACCAAGGCAACGAUGGGUAGGGGUCCUGAGAGGGAGAUCCCCCACACUGGUACUGAGACACGGACCAGACUCCUACGGGAGGCAGCAGUGAGGAAUAUUGGUCAAUGGGCGCAAGCCUGAACCAGCCAUGCCGCGUGCAGGAUGACGGUCCUAUGGAUUGUAAACUGCUUUUGUACAGGAAGAAACACUCCCUCGUGAGGGAGCUUGACGGUACUGUAAGAAUAAGGAUCGGCUAACUCCGUGCCAGCAGCCGCGGUAAUACGGAGGAUCCAAGCGUUAUCCGGAAUCAUUGGGUUUAAAGGGUCCGUAGGCGGUUUUAUAAGUCAGUGGUGAAAUCUGGUCGCUCAACGAUCAAACGGCCAUUGAUACUGUAAGACUUGAAUUACUUGGAAGUAACUAGAAUAUGUAGUGUAGCGGUGAAAUGCUUAGAGAUUACAUGGAAUACCAAUUGCGAAGGCAGGUUACUACAAGUAUAUUGACGCUGAUGGACGAAAGC